UGUACAUGAACUAGCCUCGAUCCCAGGCCGAGUUUUCGCUUUUAUAACGGUUAGGCGAACAACUGGGCCUGGUACUAGUUGUCUGCGCAUGCGUCAAUCGUUCGUCAGAUUCUGACGAAUGGAUAUUCUCGUUCACUUUCGUGACAUUUAUAUUCGUGUACUAUCGUGUACUAGAAGUCAGUUCCCGUUUUAUCAUUAUUGGAAUCGAUUGGAAUGGCUCUUAGCUGAAGCUUCUCUCUUCUCUGAAGCUUAUUCUGAAGACUGAACAACAAGGGAAGAGGUAUAAAGCUUUGUCAAGCUUGUUAAGGUCAGAUAUUUUUGUGUGGGCCCUAUGGCCGGCUAUGCUAUCAAGUCUUGUUCAUGUUUGGCAAGAAUGUAGGUAGACUAUAGUUUCAUCAUUAAUAUGGUGGAUCAAGUGAAGAGUGUGAGCUAGAGAACUUGGUGCUGCCAUCAUCAGCUCGUCGACAAUGACACUAUAACCGAGAAAUUUAAUAUGUAUAGAUCUACACGUAUUUAAAAUGUCUACUUCUCUGUACAGGAGCAAUGGCUAAUAUCCAGCUAUCCCAACAGUGCUCCUCUUGGCUAUACUAACGGACGAGACUGGACAGUUUGAGACACAGGACUGGAGUAUGACCUGCUCAUUCGAGCGUUGCUGGGUAGCUCAGAGACAUCAAGAGAAUCUACGUUUUCUCAAGCAAUGAGUUACGAGUUGGGGC